rnacentral:rRNA from 1 species
CGGACGGGUCGGAGGUAACGACCGUGAGCGAACCUACGCCUUGGAGUAGGGGAAGGUAACUAGAAUGGAAACAUACUGCUAAUAACCGCAUGAUGUCAUUGGGCCACAUGGCUCUGACUGCCAAAGAUUUAUCGCUCUGAGAUGGGCUCGCGUCUGAUUAGCUAGUUGCGGGGCAACGGCCCACCAAGGCGACGAUCAGUAGCCGGACUGAGAGGUUGGCCGGCCACAUUGGGACUGAGACACGGCCCAGACUCCUACGGGAGGCAGCAGUGGGGAAUAUUGGGCAAUGGGCACAAGCCCGACCCAGCAACGCCGCGUGAAGGAAGAAGGCUUUCGGGUUGUAAACUUCUUUUCUCAGGGACGAACAGAUGACGGUACCUGAGGAAUAAGCCACGGCUAACUACGUG